rnacentral:lncRNA from 1 species
CUUUGCAUCUUCUCACUGAUGUCUUUUUCUUUCUUGCGUUGGAGUUCUUCUUCCUGAACUUUUCUUUUAGUCUCCUCAUCACUCUGUUCCAAUUGAAGUACCAUCACUUUCGCAUUGUGUGUUACACCUUGAUCUUCAAGGGUUUUUCCCAGGUCGAGCUGCUUCUUAUUUAUGAUUAUUUUGAUAGCAUUUUCUUGUAAUGCAUGCUCUUGUGCUAUCUGUGAUCUGAGCUCCUUGCCAGUGAUGAACAAGCUAGUUUCCAGUGGGACUUUUCUGCUUUUUCUCCGAGGCAGAUGUAUAUCAAGUCUUGCAAUCCCAGUCACUUUAUAGUUUUCAUUUCCUGUUCCACGCUCAAUUGCUUUACACCGUAUUUCUUCCAGCAUAUUCUCUGCAUCAUUCUCAUUGAUUUUCAGCUUGGAUGAAUAUUUUUGUACAAGCUCCUUCAUUUCUUCUCCAGCUUCUUUUU